GAAGUUCAGUUAUUAUGGCCCUUACGACCAGGGCUAACACCGUGGCUACAAUGGCCAGUACAGAGGGCUGCGAACCCGCGAGAGUGAAGCAAAUCACACAGAGCGGGUCGUAGUCCCGGAUCGCAGUCUGCAACUCGACUGCGUGAAGUCGGAAUCGCUAGUAAUCGUGUAUCAGAAUGUCACGGUGAAUACGUUCCCGGGCCUUGUACACACCGCCCGUCACACCAUGGGAGUGGGUUGCUCCAGAAGUAGAUAGUCUAACCUUCGGGGGGCCGGUUACCACUGAGUGAUUCAUGACUGGGGUGAAGUCGUAACAAGGUAACC
rnacentral:rRNA from 1 species